UACGAAGGGUGCAAGCGUUACUCGGAAUUAUUGGGCGUAAAGCGUGCGUAGGUGGUUUGUUAAGUCUGAUGUGAAAGCCCUGGGCUCAACCUGGGAACGGCAUUGGAAACUGGCUUACUAGAGUGCGGUAGAGGGGUGUGGAAUUCCCGGUGUAGCAGUGAAAUGCGUAGAUAUCGGGAGGAACAUCUGUGGCGAAGGCGACACCCUGGACCAGCACUGACACUGAGGCACGAAAGCGUGGGGAGCAAACAGG
rnacentral:rRNA from 1 species